GGGGUUACAUAUUAGGAUUUUAAAUCUAAACAUUGAGUUUAUUUUUUCUACGGUGGUAAUGACAAAGGUAAUUUAGUGGUCACAUUAGGCUAUUUUUAUUAGUAUAGGAGGUGGGGAAUUUAGAUGCAAAUUUAGAGGGUGAUUUAAUUUAUAUUAUUUUUAAUAAUGGCAUAUAUGGGUAACUUAGGCGCAAAUUCAGAGGGAUACUUUAUACUUUUUUUUUAAAUAGCAUAUAUGGGUAAUUUUGAUUAAGAUUAAGGAUUUCUAUAGAAUAUUUUCAUAAUGAUAAAAAUGGAUAAUUUAGAUAUAAAUUAAGGACUGGUUCAGUUAAUCCUGAAUUAGGAGGGGUUGAGGGGGAUUACCUCCCCAACAGACUUGUAGCGGAAUUAUUCCUCUCAAA
rnacentral:lncRNA from 1 species